UCUUUUUUGUGUAUCAUGUUUGACAAUUCUCUUGUUUUGUUUACUCUCUUGUGUUCUAUCUUUAACGUUUGGGGGUUGUCUUGCAGGACAAUGAACCUUUGAUGCGUGCACUCUCAAAGCUUAUCAACCUUAACAAUCCGAAUCUUGUCCUUUUUGUCGGUGAAGCGCUUGUUGGUAAUGAAGCUGUGGAUCAGCUCUCAAAAAUCAAUCAGAAACUUGCUGAUCUUUGAAACUCACCAAAUCCAAGAUUGAUUGAUGGCAUCCUCCUUACCAAGUUUGACACCAUCGAUGACAAGGUUGGAGCUGCUUUGUCCAUGGUUUACAUCUCUGGAGCUCCUGUGAUGUUUGUUGGCUGUGGGCAGUCUUACACUGACUUGAUGAAAUUGAACGUCAAGUCCAUCGUGAAGACGCUCCUCAAUUGAGCCAACAUAAUAUGCCACAUUGUUUGUACUGUGUGAUAUGCUCUUUCUGGCAUCCUCAAACCUACUGUCAUCCUCUGUUUGAUUUUAGAUAUUAAUCCAGUUGUGCUGUUUCUGAGAAGAAUUGUAAAAAUAAAGAUGUUUUUUGUUUGUGGCUCUAAAUAAUCAAUACUCCAUACUUAUAUUUUAUUUA